rnacentral:rRNA from 1 species
CCUACGGGAGGCAGCAGUAGGGAAUAUUGCUCAAUGGGGGAAACCCUGAAGCAGCAACGCCGCGUGGAGGAUGAAGGUUUUCGGAUUGUAAACUCCUUUUGUUAGAGAAGAUAAUGACGGUAUCUAACGAAUAAGCACCGGCUAACUCCGUGCCAGCAGCCGCGGUAAUACGGAGGGUGCAAGCGUUACUCGGAGUCACUGGGCGUAAAGAGAGCGUAGGCGGGAUAGCAAGUCAGAUGUGAAAUCCUAUGGCUUAACCAUAGAACUGCAUUUGAAACUGUUAUUCUAGAGUAUGGGAGAGGUAGGUGGAAUUCUUGGUGUAGGGGUAAAAUCCGUAGAGAUCAAGAGGAAUACUCAUUGCGAAGGCGACCUGCUAGAACAUAACUGACGCUGAUGCGCGAAAGCGUGGGGAGCAAACAGGAUUAGAUACCCCGGUAGUC